GAUCAUGGCUCAGGAUGAACGCUAGCGGCAGGCUUAACACAUGCAAGUCGAGGGGCAGCGGGAUGUAGCAAUACAUUGCCGGCGACCGGCGGAUGGGUGCGUAACGCGUAUGCAACCUACCUUAUACAGGGGAAUAACCUUUCGAAAGGGAGACUAACACCCCAUGGUAUUGAUUUAAGGCAUCUUAGAUUAAUUAAAUAUUUAUAGGUAUAAGAUGGGCAUGCGUAUGAUUAGCUAGUUGGUAAGGUAACGGCUUACCAAGGCGACGAUCAUUAGGGGUUCUGAGAGGAAGGUCCCCCACACUGGUACUGAGACACGGACCAGACUCCUACGGGAGGCAGCAGUGAGGAAUAUUGGUCAAUGGGCGCAAGCCUGAACCAGCCAUGCCGCGUGCAGGAAGACGGCCUUAUGGGUUGUAAACUGCUUUUACAUAAGACUAACCGUAUAUUUGCGAAUAUACCUGAAUGUAUUAUGAGAAUAAGGAUCGGCUAACCCCGUGCCAGCCGCCGC
rnacentral:rRNA from 1 species